UAAUAUGAUAAUUUAAUAAUUAUUAUACUCGUAGUAAAAUUUCUAUGGUUCGUUGAAAAAUUUAACACUAUAUUUUUUAAUUUAAAGGUUUGUAAAGUUUGUAAUAAAAUAAUGCACACAGAAACAAAAGCCACAACUAAAGUUAGCGUUGUAAAAGCAAAAAAACAAACCAUGCGAAUAUUUUUUUCAGCAUAUAAUUUCCCGUACGACCUUAAUUGAUCUGUAAGACAACAGAUAACUACUAUAAUUGAUUAGCACACAAGAAAGAAGUCUAAACAUCUCUAAUCAAGCGAUAUAAUUCUUUACUCCGGAAAAACAUAAUUUCAAAAUGAAAUCUUGAGAUCAUUAAAUGACGGAGAUUUUUUAGUUUACAGGAAAAAUAAUGCUUAAGACGAUUUUGAGCACCAUUUCAUCUUGCUUUCUCAAAGUAUUUUCUACCGACUAUUCGGAAUCGAGUGCUCACAAUACAAUGGUUUUAUAUAGUUUUAUUCUUACCAAUUAUAUUAUCGAGUUUAUUCGUCAGUAAAACUUAUUCUUGAUAUCAAAGUCUAAAAUCAAGGCUUAAUAAAUCUUCAACAGAUGACAAAGCUGAGUCUUAAUUAAAUAGAUACUUAACAUAUCACUAAAUCUAUUAUUAAUGAAUGUUGAUAAACCACUAUUUUUAAAAACUCGGUAACACGCACUAAGGUCUUUUUUGUUGAGUGCUCUUAUAAAAAAUGGACAUUAUUCAUUGUUACAGCGCUCUCUCUAUGAAAUCUUAAACCAUCCAUACAUAUAUCCUAAACUCAAUAGGUAUUCUGUAGAUGAGUAGAUCUCUUUUGUUCCUGAUAAUCUAUAGCAACAGUACAUGGCUGAGCAAAUAAAUAAAAACUGGCGAGUAAUGAAUCACGAUCUAAAGAUAACAAAAAUAGUCUUUAAAUCUUUAUUUGUUCUAUCUUUUUUUCGUUGGGAAAGGUCAGUAUAAGUCACGGAAAUCUAUGCAGUAUUUUGUUAAAAACCCUUAAAACACAUCACGCACAGCUAUCAUAAUUAUAUUAAGCUCUUAUAAAUACGAAUGGCAAUAUUAAUGCCCAUGCCACAAUAUUUAAUAAAGUUAUUGAAUUUAAUGUAAUCCUAGAGGUGAAGUGCGAUUACAAUAGAAAUGAAUAAAACCUAAUCGAUAUGAAAAAUGAACCCCGAGUACUGUCACCCAAUACCCUUUUAAAGUGGUAUAGUAGCUCCGUAAGUAUAUGUAUCCGCGCAAAUAGUCAAAUAUCAAACGAACUCAUUCUAAUGGCUUAAACGCAACAUUAUAAUUGUGCCAGAGAACGCAGACUCGAGAAACCCAAUGGUCAUAACAAUAUAUUCACUCACAAUAAUGGCUGACAUUAUUCAGUAAUAAGUCUGGUAAAACUAAUUUAUGUUGCGACGUUCCAAUUAAAAUUAUCGGGUUUAUUCGUACCCACUAACACUAAAUCGACUUUUUUAUUUGGCAAUAUUUUCGGUCCAACUCGAAUAAUACUUACCGCCUGUUCUAAAUGUUAUCUAGAUUUAUUUUAUUGUUUCUAUAUUUACCGAUUAAAAAUUUAUUUAUAAUACAACCUACUGAUAGAUGUACUCUAAAUUUAUUAUUUAUUUACUCGAGGUAUUAUAAAAUAUUAUUCAACACGAAUUGCAUCUAUGUGAUUGACUAAUCUGAUAUAUUCAGAUUUUACAAAUGUCCCCAGUCCAGCAGUUUUAAAUAACGAGACGUCGUUAUUUAACAAGUAUUUUAGAGAAAGGAAGG